CCUCCUUUCUUGGCAUACCUGUGGUAAUCUGUGCACAAGUGUGUAUGUGAUGGAGGGAUAUAAUAAUCCAGUGCUAUGUCUUCGGUGUCAGUGUCUCACUCAUAUUCUGAUUCUAUCCUCAACACUGGGAUAUUU
rnacentral:snoRNA from 1 species